UGGGGAACAUAGUGUGACCUUGUUGC
rnacentral:piRNA from 1 species